UACGAAGGGGGCUAGCGUUGCUCGGAAUUACUGGGCGUAAAGGGCGCGUAGGCGGUCAUUUAAGUCAGAGGUGAAAGCCCAGGGCUCAACCUUGGAAUUGCCUUUGAUACUGGAUGUCUUGAGUUCGGGAGAGGUGAGUGGAAUGCCGAGUGUAGAGGUGAAAUUCGUAGAUAUUCGGCGGAACACCAGUGGCGAAGGCGACUCACUGGCCCGAUACUGACGCUGAGGCGCGAAAGCGUGGGGAGCAAACAGG
rnacentral:rRNA from 1 species